GUUAAGCGACUAAGCGUACACGGUGGAUGCCCUGGCAGUCAGAGGCGAUGAAGGACGUGCUAAUCUGCGAUAAGCGUCGGUAAGGUGAUAUGAACCGUUAUAACCGGCGAUUUCCGAAUGGGGAAACCCAGUGUGAUUCGUCACACUAUCAUUAACUGAAUCCAUAGGUUAAUGAGGCGAACCGGGGGAACUGAAACAUCUAAGUACCCCGAGGAAAAGAAAUCAACCGAGAUUCCCCCAGUAGCGGCGAGCGAACGGGGAGCAGCCCAGAGCCUGAAUCAGUGUGUGUGUUAGUGGAAGCGUCUGGAAAGGCGCGCGAUACAGGGUGACAGCCCCGUACACAAAAAUGCACAUGCUGUGAGCUCGAUGAGUAGGGCGGGACACGUGGUAUCCUGUCUGAAUAUGGGGGGACCAUCCUCCAAGGCUAAAUACUCCUGACUGACCGAUAGUGAACCAGUACCGUGAGGGAAAGGCGAAAAGAACCCCGGCGAGGGGAGUGAAAAAGAACCUGAAACCGUGUACGUACAAGCAGUGGGAGCACGCUUAGGCGUGUGACUGCGUACCUUUUGUAUAAUGGGUCAGCGACUUAUAUUCUGUAGCAAGGUUAACCGAAUAGGGGAGCCGAAGGGAAACCGAGUCUUAACUGGGCGUUAAGUUGCAGGGUAUAGACCCGAAACCCGGUGAUCUAGCCAUGGGCAGGUUGAAGGUUGGGUAACACUAACUGGAGGACCGAACCGACUAAUGUUGAAAAAUUAGCGGAUGACUUGUGGCUGGGGGUGAAAGGCCAAUCAAACCGGGAGAUAGCUGGUUCUCCCCGAAAGCUAUUUAGGUAGCGCCUCGUGAAUUCAUCUCCGGGGGUAGAGCACUGUUUCGGCAAGGGGGUCAUCCCGACUUACCAACCCGAUGCAAACUGCGAAUACCGGAGAAUGUUAUCACGGGAGACACACGGCGGGUGCUAACGUCCGUCGUGAAGAGGGAAACAACCCAGACCGCCAGCUAAGGUCCCAAAGUCAUGGUUAAGUGGGAAACGAUGUGGGAAGGCCCAGACAGCCAGGAUGUUGGCUUAGAAGCAGCCAUCAUUUAAAGAAAGCGUAAUAGCUCACUGGUCGAGUCGGCCUGCGCGGAAGAUGUAACGGGGCUAAACCAUGCACCGAAGCUGCGGCAGCGACACUGUGUGUUGUUGGGUAGGGGAGCGUUCUGUAAGCCUGCGAAGGUGUGCUGUGAGGCAUGCUGGAGGUAUCAGAAGUGCGAAUGCUGACAUAAGUAACGAUAAAGCGGGUGAAAAGCCCGCUCGCCGGAAGACCAAGGGUUCCUGUCCAACGUUAAUCGGGGCAGGGUGAGUCGACCCCUAAGGCGAGGCCGAAAGGCGUAGUCGAUGGGAAACAGGUUAAUAUUCCUGUACUUGGUGUUACUGCGAAGGGGGGACGGAGAAGGCUAUGUUGGCCGGGCGACGGUUGUCCCGGUUUAAGCGUGUAGGCUGGUUUUCCAGGCAAAUCCGGAAAAUCAAGGCUGAGGCGUGAUGACGAGGCACUACGGUGCUGAAGCAACAAAUGCCCUGCUUCCAGGAAAAGCCUCUAAGCAUCAGGUAACAUCAAAUCGUACCCCAAACCGACACAGGUGGUCAGGUAGAGAAUACCAAGGCGCUUGAGAGAACUCGGGUGAAGGAACUAGGCAAAAUGGUGCCGUAACUUCGGGAGAAGGCACGCUGAUAUGUAGGUGAAGUCCCUCGCGGAUGGAGCUGAAAUCAGUCGAAGAUACCAGCUGGCUGCAACUGUUUAUUAAAAACACAGCACUGUGCAAACACGAAAGUGGACGUAUACGGUGUGACGCCUGCCCGGUGCCGGAAGGUUAAUUGAUGGGGUCAGCGCAAGCGAAGCUCUUGAUCGAAGCCCCGGUAAACGGCGGCCGUAACUAUAACGGUCCUAAGGUAGCGAAAUUCCUUGUCGGGUAAGUUCCGACCUGCACGAAUGGCGUAAUGAUGGCCAGGCUGUCUCCACCCGAGACUCAGUGAAAUUGAACUCGCUGUGAAGAUGCAGUGUACCCGCGGCAAGACGGAAAGACCCCGUGAACCUUUACUAUAGCUUGACACUGAACAUUGAGCCUUGAUGUGUAGGAUAGGUGGGAGGCUUUGAAGUGUGGACGCCAGUCUGCAUGGAGCCGACCUUGAAAUACCACCCUUUAAUGUUUGAUGUUCUAACGUUGACCCGUGAUCCGGGUUGCGGACAGUGUCUGGUGGGUAGUUUGACUGGGGCGGUCUCCUCCUAAAGAGUAACGGAGGAGCACGAAGGUUGGCUAAUCCUGGUCGGACAUCAGGAGGUUAGUGCAAUGGCAUAAGCCAGCUUGACUGCGAGCGUGACGGCGCGAGCAGGUGCGAAAGCAGGUCAUAGUGAUCCGGUGGUUCUGAAUGGAAGGGCCAUCGCUCAACGGAUAAAAGGUACUCCGGGGAUAACAGGCUGAUACCGCCCAAGAGUUCAUAUCGACGGCGGUGUUUGGCACCUCGAUGUCGGCUCAUCACAUCCUGGGGCUGAAGUAGGUCCCAAGGGUAUGGCUGUUCGCCAUUUAAAGUGGUACGCGAGCUGGGUUUAGAACGUCGUGAGACAGUUCGGUCCCUAUCUGCCGUGGGCGCUGGAGAACUGAGGGGGGCUGCUCCUAGUACGAGAGGACCGGAGUGGACGCAUCACUGGUGUUCGGGUUGUCAUGCCAAUGGCACUGCCCGGUAGCUAAAUGCGGAAGAGAUAAGUGCUGAAAGCAUCUAAGCACGAAACUUGCCCCGAGAUGAGUUCUCCCUGACUCCUUGAGAGUCCUGAAGGAACGUUGAAGACGACGACGUUGAUAGGCCGGGUGUGUAAGCGCAGCGAUGCGUUGAGCUAACCGGUACUAAUGAACCGUGAGGCUUAACCUUACAACGCCGAAG
rnacentral:rRNA from 1 species